UCUCUCAGCCAUACCACCCUGCACCUCUCCACUGGCUACCCACUGAAGCUAAGCAGGGUUGAGCCUGGCUAGUACCUGGAUGGGAGACCUCCUGGGAAGCUGUGAUUGCAGCUGGAA
rnacentral:rRNA from 1 species